rnacentral:tRNA from 1 species
AGGCGCGUAGCUCAGUGGGAGAGCGCCACCUUGACGUGGUGGAUGUCGUCGGUUCAAUCCCGUCCGCGCCUACCA